GAAAGAUGAAAAGAACUUUGAAAAGAGAGUUAAAAGUGCUUGAAAUUGUUGAGAGGGAAGCGAUUAGCGCUUGUGUGUGCCCCCAGGCUUAAGUGUGCCUAACGGCCCAUUGAAUGUGCUGGGUGCUGGUCAGAGUGGGUUGUCUUGGCGGGAAAACAGUUGGGUCCACCCCGGUAACCCGGCCGAUGCCGCCGAGAUGACCAAGGCGUGAAGGUUGCUUUGUCCUUCGGGAUCCGCAUCCUAAAGACUCUGGCAGAAAAGCGUUAAUCGACCCGUCUUGAAACACGG
rnacentral:ncRNA from 1 species